UUUGGUGUUUUCGUCACUUAAUACUUUUACAGAGUGAGACAGAGCUAUAGGCAUGAAUUAUUCGAUGACUCUGUUACGUAGUACUACAGCAUCUUUUAUCUUCGGCGGACGGAACAGCAUGCUUCGGAAAUUUCGCAUUACUUUACUGUUCUAAUGUGAACACGUGAUUUUCGACAGAUCGGGAAUAAAUUACGCAGUCGUAUUCGACUUUGACUGGUUGCUCUGAUAAUUCGAUACGAUGAGGAGUGAGAAAGAGGAUAUUUUUAUAAUCGUAAAAAUAUAAUAUUUUUGUUUACGGGUCGGUUGAGUUGUUGGUAGAAUAAUGAAUAAUGAUGAUACUUCGCAAGGCAUUAUUUGCGCAUCUGACGAACCGUCCUACUGUAUUUGCGAAUUGCGCGAAUUUCAAUGCGAUCUCUUACAUGCUGCGCACAUAGAGCGAUUGCGUAAGGUGCAUCGAGCGACAUUGACAAUAAUCAUCGAAUUACCUGUGUCCCACGUAAUAGUCAUUCGGUAAUGUACAUAGUCGGUGUGGAUUUGUCAGUCGUUAACAGAACGUUGCAAGGGUUGGAUCGAAGUACAACGCAAUUGUUAUUUCCUUCUUAUUCUACGUCGUCGCGACGAGUGUAAAAGCGGCUUUACGAGGAUGCGAAAAUAGAGCCGAGCUCCGCGGCGCGUCUCGAGGCCCCUGCGACGCUCGCAAGCUUUGCUUCUUAAGCUUCCAGUCUCCUACUGGAAGUAUCCGCGAGAUGAGUUUGAUCUUGACCAGUGCGUGCUGAUGAUCAAUGAUCAGUUGUGAAUUAAGCUGACCUCGACAAAAAGUUCAUAUCAAAACAGAAAAUUGGAUCAUUUUUUUUUUUUCGGAGACGUAUGGAUAAAAGAAGAAGAAAAGCAGAAAUAUGCAAGUGGAAUUGUGACUUUCGUUUGGACGGUCGAAGGAAACCAUAAAAUUGAGGGCAAUGGAGGAAUCGAUGUUGAUGGGGACUAGCUAGUUUCCGUUGGAGGCGUCUUAAUGGUUUUACAAAAUUGUAACACUGAUAUGGUCUUUUGUGGCCUUUGCCCUUGCUGUGAUUACGGUUGGUCCUCUUAUGCAUAUCUUUUGCAAAUUUUUUGACAAGGCACAGACGAUCUUCUGUUACCGUGUAAUUGUGGUUUGUGCGAUACGGUUAUGCGUAAUAUUCCAAUAGACGUAUCAUUGACUACUAUGAUCUAUGAUCUAUGAUCGAUGGAUAAGUGUUCUUAAAAUCAGUCCGAAGAGCACUGGGCGGAAUAAUGUAUGAGAAACGUCCGUUGGAAGAUCAGAAAUAAGGAAGUUGCAUAGAGAAAAUCAUUAGACGCUGACGUCACGAGGGAGAGAGAUAAAGUAUAUAGGACUUCAAUUGGGAGUAUUCGUUAGAAAGAGAAAUGAUGGACACAGCGAGCGAGUACCCGUCGACGAUCGACGUCUGCGUCGUCGACAGUCCUGACGAGAGUUGCAGCGAGCGUCACUACGACGAGUUUACCAUAGUCGCACGUCGGAUGAGUAUAUCGCGUAUAUUCGCACGGAAUUCGAUGGCCUGGGCUCGCGACUCUUUGGAGAAGUUACCGAUCAGAUUGACCUUGAGCAAUAUUGGAAUCCUUACUGUGAUCAUUGCGAUCCUUAUGCCACGUGUCUUCACUUACGUACUGGUCUAUCCGAUUUUCAGAUUGGUCUUCGGUACCCUUUAUCCGGCCUACGCUUCUUACAAGGCUGUACGGACGAAGAACGUCAAAGAAUACGUAAAAUGGAUGAUGUACUGGAUCGUGUUUGCACUGUUCACAUGCGCCGAGACAUUCACCGACGUAUUUUUUAGCUUUUGGUUCCCAUUUUAUUACGAGAUCAAGAUAAUUCUGGUGCUAUGGCUAUUAAGUCCAGCGACAAAAGGAUCCAGCAUCCUUUAUCGACGCUUCGUACAUCCUGCUCUGAGCCGACGAGAAGCUGAGAUAGACGAGGCUCUCGCGAGAGCAACGGAGCAGGGCUAUACAGCAGUACUGCAUCUGGGUACCAGAGGCGUUAAUUAUGCUACUACCGUACUUAUGCAAACAGCCAUAAAGGGUGGCGGUGGAUUGGUGCAGCAGCUCAAGAAAAGUUACAGUCUCUCUGAUCUGACUGGCGAGAAGGAAGAUGAAAACAGGAACACGGCCGACUUGCGUGACGAGACGGACAUGGAAAUGGAACCUCGUCGAAGAGAACACGUGGGUAGAAGAGGCUACAGCCCACGAAGAACUCAGUCGAGCAGCAAUCGUGUCGAGAUGUAUUUCUCUGAGGUGGAUGUGGACGUGAGACAACCACGGCCAAGGGAGCCUAUAGUUAGCUUAACUAAUAUUAGGUCAUCCGAUGACAUAUCCAGCGGAUACAGCAGUGGUGAAGCUUUGCAGUCUCAUCGUGUCAUCUCUCAGGGUGAAUCGCUUGUAAGGACAGCGAGCGUCGGUGCCAGGACGCGAAUAAAACCACGGACCACGACCAAGAAGACGCCGGAGGAUGACGAGGAAGAUUCGGAUUGCAUCGAGAUCUCUUCAUUGGAUGAUAUUCCUUUUCUCAUUCCGCAAAACUCUAUCACUCCUGAACAAGCUCUUGAGAUUCUGCUUCGUUUGUCGCAAAAUAGUACAUGUGGAGAUUACGUCAACUUUCAACGCAGACGCAACUCUGAUAAUAAAUUUGGAGAAGAGUUUCCUACUGAUCGUGGGCAUGAUCUAAAUUUGUUGAACACUUUUGGAAGAGACAGUCGAUCAAAAUCAAGAGAAUCCAGUAUGGAAUUUCAAGAUACUGUGUCGGAACCGGAUGCACUCAAUGCUGAACAGACUUUGACUUAUUCUAAAAGAAGUGCAGAUGUUGAUAUUAAUACCAUUAAGAUACCGGAUGUUUUGAAAACUGAUGUUGUUGAUGUCAGUCAUGUUGACUCAUCCAGUGGAAAUAUGUCCAAGUACCGAAAUACAGUAGAAGCUGAAGCUCAGGAAGAAAUAUCUGCUUUGACUGAUGAUCAAGUUCAAGUAAAACAUACCUCCAGUGAGGUCAAGGCUGAUUUGAAUUCAAAAGACGAGAUUUCUAUUAAGGAGUCCGUUAGUAAGAUUAACGUGGAACAGAUCACUGACGCCAUCUGUCAGGAUAAGUUUGAUGAACUUAAAAAAUUGAUUAGUAAUGCUCAACGUGCUGUGUCGAAUAUCGUGACGUCACAAGAAAGACUAAACAGAAUUGAUCCCAUCGAAAGUGCAACGGGUCAACAAGAUAUAUCCAUCCAAAAAGAAUCAGAUGACAGUUGCUGCAACGUUGGAGAAGACAUAGCCAUAAAGAAUUCCUUAAACAGCCAGAGCAAUACUAAUUCUCUGGAAGUCUGGUCGACUCCAACGAUAUCGAGAAGUAAUUCAGACAGUGGAGGUCGAGCAGGAAAGUAUAAUAAGAAACCAGCACCCAGGGCACCAGGAUCAACGACUCGAGAAGAUAUAGAUGAUACAGAAUCUCAAAAAGCACUGAAAGCUACGUUGAUCAUAAAAACAGGAACUGUCAAAACAGUCAGCAACAUCAGUACCAGUAAGGAUGUGUUCAUAGCACAUUCGCCGAAGGCCAAGCGCAAGAAAACUAAACAUACCAGAACAAAGGAAGGAUUUUCGAAAUUGCUGACUAUACCAAAAAAUAUUUUUCAUAGCGCUUUUCACAAGGAUGGUAAAGACGCUUCACCUAAGGAUGACGAUUCGAGUUCUUUUACUUCUGAUAGAGACACAUCCAGAUCUAGAUCAGUCAGCGUGGGAUCUGGAGGUACUGGAAAUGACGUAGAGAAUAAACCAUCGACUUCGAAAUCCGGAUUAGACGUGGAGAAUGCCCUAGUGAAGGCUGCUCUGGUUGAUGAAGAUUCUAGGGCAGAAACUUACAUAAACUUAAGAUCAGACAGUAUAGAUCAAUAUACUUCAGCAUCUGAAGAUUCUAAGAGUGAAGACCUCGAUAAGACUGUUUUCGAGAGGACAGAGUACGAGAAAAGGAUAUCAAAAGCGGAAGCGAAGAGAGAGGAAGAGGAUAAAUUGUCAAAAGCGGAAGAUCGUCAAAAGGCAAAGCUAAAGAUCAGACAGAUGUCGCACUCGCCAUCUCGUGGCUCUAGAAAAUCUUAUUUUGAUUGCGACUGACGUUUUCAAAAAUUAUAUAGUAGCUGUACACGUGAAAAACGUGUUAGUUGAGAAUUGCCUUUAAUACUAAGUAAGACGAAGCAGAAAUAACCAUAUCCAAUCCCAUCCAUGUCCUCAAAAGCGGAAGGAUCUCAGGACAAAUGUUGCAGAGAAGAAUCGUAGCUUAUCCAACGUAUGCAUCUAAUUUUUGGUGUUCCCAGCGAACAGAGUUCAUCAAGAAUGCAGUGUUAAUCAACACUAACUUCAAUAACGAGUUUCGCCACCUUGCCCCGUAGCAAAAAGCCAAGUAAGAAGAAGAUCCCGUGAAACUUGACGGCUGCUGACCGCAUCAAGGAAUAGGGCUAAGCAAGAGUCCAUUUUUCGAAUUGAGCCAAGACAUCACGUUCAUCCGUAAAUCCAUAUAAUCCUUGGUGAAAAGAUGCUGCCAGUAGAUGCAGCAAUUGGACGGUCAGCAGCGUGCAUUGAUCGAUGGCCAAAUUGCGCAAUAAAAUGGCGUCACGCCGAAGCUUUGUCAUUGUGCAACAGUUCAUCGCUAGACUGAAGAUCGGUAUUGGUUUCUUUAGUCUAGUCCAAAUGCGCAAUGCGAAAAACGUGCUGGAUAUUUUUUAGGACGAACAGGAACAGUGACGGCCCGAUUUUUGAAUUUGAAAAAAAAAGACAAUGUAGAAUACAAUGCUAGUUAGUCUGUAAAAAAUUCAGCUUCGUCUUCGUAUGUCUGCUCUCAGUUCGAAAAAACUAUACGUGAAUCAAUUCUAAAUUGGUGAUACCGUUGGUCACAAUUGCCCUGUAAAGCUUUUAGCUUAGUUGCUUUUGCUUCUGGCACAAGAAACAUGUAUACAUCCAACAGUUUUAUCUAUAUUCCAUUAUUGAUAUCCAGCACCUUUCUCUGCGCUGCAAUAUUCGCGUGGUAAUUCUUGUCUCGCGUUGCUUCGAUAUUUCUAAGAUCGAUCGAAAAUCAGACGUACAGUCACGAUUGAAGAGGAUGUGCAUUUCUUGUGAUAUACAGAAAAUUCAAAAAUUAUUAUGAACGGCGUUGAAUUCAAGACGCGCUGAAGUUGAAGUUGAUGAAUUCUAGUCAGCGAGCAUGUGAGGAGAGCUCGAGCCGCUAUUUAAAAAUCGUGCCACUUAGAAAAAAGAUGUUUGAAUCUCUGGUAAUUAAUUAGAGAUUAUUUAAAUGUCAAAUGCUAGUAAUUGUAGUAGGUGCCGUGGAGAUUGUGGCUGCUUUCAUUAAUAUUUCUGUAAAUUUAUUCAUUGGCCAUAUCAGUGAUUUUUAUAACCACGACUUUGAUGAAAAGUCAUGGAUUUUUCUACAACAGCAUAUUUGAAAGGGACUUGUUUGAGCUUUUUCUUGAAUUUCAAUUUAUAGAAAAAUCUCAAGUUAAGCUCUUUGCAAAUAAUGUCUUGUAGCUAAUAGCGCUUCAUCAUGUAAUUUACUGAUACCAAACACUAGAUAGAUAUAGCAGCCAGACAUGUAAUCUUCCUCAAAAUUUUAUUCGUAAACGCAAUUCAUUCAAUCGUAGCCAUUUUCUUUUCGAUGAAAUAAGAAUUAAGUAAAAAUUAAUUAAUUGCGUAUGACGCCAUCGUUUAGAGUGGCUUUGUCCUGGUAUGACAAAAAUUACGCACAAGUACUAUGAUUACUAAAAAUUAGAUAACAGAAUUUAUUUAGCAAUGUUAACAAAUUCGUGCAUAUAGUUUAUUGUAUUAUCCUCUAACGAUCAUUGAUUGACGUAGAUGAAGGGAAUUUUAUGGUUCGAUAUGAUACUAAUCGGCUCUACACGUUAGCAUCGAUCGAUCUACUAUUAAAUUAAUUAGUUGUUCAAUAUCAUUCGUUUGCGGUUUUCAACGCUCUAAACGAAAUCCUUAUCGUUGACUGCAUUAACAUGAAUCCCAUUCGUGGACGCUAUUAUAUGUAUAAUUAAUCACCAUUGAUGAUACGUAUCGUUAACCCUUAUUAGCCCAGACUAAUGUUUUGUAUGCUUGUACGAUGCGAAAAUGGGAAUGCGCCUUGGUGCGACGAAGAUAGAGAAUGGAAAGAAAGAGGACAGAGCAGAUGAAAUAAUAAUGUAUCGAUAUUAUAUGAACAAGCAAGAGUGUGCGAGAGAAUAUUAGUGUAAUGAGAUUACGUAAAAAUGCUCAAAAAUAUACUUCUUUAUUCUGAACCGAUGACUGAAUUCUAAACAAUUGACGGUACCUCUAUGUUAAUCCUGUUUAAGGACUUAUUUACAUCGAGCGAAACUAUUAAAGUCUAAGGAGGAUGAAAGUGAUUAAUGUCCACGAGUCAUAGCUACUCGUGUCUCACGAGGAUUAUCGUGGUGCUCGCUAAUUGUUCUAUUUCUUUUCUACGUACGUAAAACACGCCAGCUUGAUGCGUGAGGAUGUUACCAUUGUUGUCAGGAAUCAUGUACCGUGUGGAACUUUCCGAAGUGUCUCUCAGAGGAUGUGGACGGAUCGGAUAUUAAUAUUUCGAUUCGAGCACAUUUGUAGCUAAUAAAAUGAAACUGUGGAAAAUGA